rnacentral:rRNA from 1 species
UGGGGAAUAUUGCACAAUGGGGGAAAGACCCUGAUGCAGCGACGCCGCGUGAAGGAAGAAGUAUCUCGGUAUGUAAACUUCUAUCAGCAGGGAAGAAAAUGACGGUACCUGACUAAGAAGCCCCGGCUAACUACGUGCCAGCAGCCGCGGUAAUACGUAGGGGGCAAGCGUUAUCCGGAUUUACUGGGUGUAAAGGGAGCGUAGGCGGCGAUGCAAGUCAGAAGCGAAAGCCCGGGGCUCAACUCCGGGACUGCUUUUGAAACUGUGGAUCUAGAGUGCCGGAGAGGUAAGCGGAAUUCCUAGUGUAGCGGUGAAAUGCGUAGAUAUUAGGAGGAACACCAGUGGCGAAGGCGGCUUACUGGACGGUAACUGACGUUGAGGCUCGAAAGCGUGGGGAGCAAACAGGAUUAGAUACCC